CCUACGGGAGGCUGCAGUGGGGAAUAUUGGACAAUGGGCGAAAGCCUGAUCCAGCCAUGCCGCGUGUGUGAAGAAGGCCUUCGGGUUGUAAAGCACUUUCAGUGGGGAAGAAAGCCUUGGGGCUAAUACCCUCGAGGAAGGACAUCACCCACAGAAGAAGCACCGGCUAACUCCGUGCCAGCAGCCGCGGUAAUACGGAGGGUGCGAGCGUUAAUCGGAAUUACUGGGCGUAAAGCGCGCGUAGGCGGUCUGAUAAGCCGGUUGUGAAAGCCCCGGGCUCAACCUGGGAACGGCAUCCGGAACUGUCAGGCUAGAGUGCAGGAGAGGAAGGUAGAAUUCCCGGUGUAGCGGUGAAAUGCGUAGAGAUCGGGAGGAAUACCAGUGGCGAAGGCGGCCUUCUGGACUGACACUGACGCUGAGGUGCGAAAGCGUGGGUAGCAAACAGGACUAGAUACCCGGGUAGUC
rnacentral:rRNA from 1 species